AAGGACAGACUCCGUUGGUGACCAGCGGAGGGAUCAUUGCUGGAACGCGCCCCAGGCGCACCCAGAAACCCUUUGUGAACUUAUACCUUACUGUUGCCUCGGCGCUAGCUGGUCCUUCGGGGCCCCUCACCCCCGGGUGUUGAGACAGCCCGCCGGCGGCCAACCCAACUCUUGUUUUUACACUGAAACUCUGAGAAUAAAACAUAAAUGAAUCAAAACUUUCAACAACGGAUCUCUUGGUUCUGGCAUCGAUGAAGAACGCAGCGAAAUGCGAUAAGUAAUGUGAAUUGCAGAAUUCAGUGAAUCAUCGAAUCUUUGAACGCACAUUGCGCCCUCUGGUAUUCCGGAGGGCAUGCCUGUUCGAGCGUCAUUUCAACCCUCAAGCCUGGCUUGGUGAUGGGGCACUGCUUCUUACCCAAGGAGCAGGCCCUGAAAUUCAGUGGCGAGCUCGCCAGGACCCCGAGCGCAGUAGUUAAACCCUCGCUCUGGAAGGCCCUGGCGGUGCCCUGCCGUUAAACCCCCAACUUCUGAAAAUUUGACCUCGGAUCAGGUAGGAAUACCCGCUGAACUUAAGCAUAC
rnacentral:rRNA from 1 species